rnacentral:rRNA from 1 species
UACAGAGGUGGCAAGCGUUGUUCGGAAUUACUGGGCGUAAAGGGCGCGUAGGCGGUCUUGUAAGUCUUGUGUGAAAUCCCUCGGCUUAACUGAGGAACUGCACGAGAUACUGCGAGACUUGAGUUCGGGAGAGGAAAGCGGAAUUCCGGGUGUAGCGGUGAAAUGCGUAGAUAUGUGGAGGAAUACCGAUGGCGAAGGCAGCCCCCUGGGAUAACACUGACGCUCAUGCACGAAAGCGUGGGGAGCAAACAGG